rnacentral:rRNA from 1 species
GACGAACGCCGGCGGCGUGCUUAACACAUGCCAGUCGAACGGAAAGGCCCUGCUUUUGUGGGGUGCUCGAGUGGCGAACGGGUGAGUAACACGUGAGUAACCUGCCCUUGACUUUGGGAUAACUUCAGGAAACUGGGGCUAAUACCGGAUAGGAGCUCCUGCUGCAUGGUGGGGGUUGGAAAGUUUCGGCGGUUGGGGAUGGACUCGCGGCUUAUCAGCUUGUUGGUGGGGUAGUGGCUUACCAAGGCUUUGACGGGUAGCCGGCCUGAGAGGGUGACCGGCCACAUUGGGACUGAGAUACGGCCCAGACUCCUACGGGAGGCAGCAGUGGGGAAUAUUGCACAAUGGGCGGAAGCCUGAUGCAGCAACGCCGCGUGCGGGAUGACGGCCUUCGGGUUGUAAACCGCUUUCGCCUGUGACGAAGCGUGAGUGACGGUGAUGGGUAAAGAAGCACCGGCUAACUACGUG